rnacentral:rRNA from 1 species
CCUACGUGUGGCAGCAGUGAGGAAUAUUCGUCAUUGGGCGGAAGCCUGAACCAGCCAAGUAGCGUGCGGGAUGAAGGCCCUACGGGUCGUAAACCGCUUUUGCACGGAGAUACCACCCUCCACUUGUGGAGGUCUGCAGGUACCGUACGAAUAAGGAUCGGCUAACUCCGUGCCAGCAGCCGCGGGAAUACGGAGGAUUCAAGCGUUAUCCGGAUUUAUUGGUGUUAAGGGGUGCGUAGGCGGGCGGAUAAGUUAGAGUUGAAAUCCCAGGGCUAAACUUCGGAAGUGCCUCUGAUACUGUUCGGCUAGAGAGUAGUUGCGGUAGGCGGAAUGUAUGGUGUAGCGGUGAAAUGCUUAGAGAUCAUACAGAACACCGAUUGCGAAGGCAGCUUACCAAGCUACUUCUGACGUUGAGGCACGAAAGCGUGGGGAGCAAACAGGAUUAGAUACCCCUGUAGUC